rnacentral:siRNA from 1 species
GAUGUGUCACUCAUAUGGA